CCCGGCGCACGGGUGAGUAACGCGUAUGCAACUUACCUAUCAGAGGGGGAUAACCCGGCGAAAGUCGGCUAAUACCGCAUGAAGCAGGGAUCCCGCAUGGGAAUAUUUUGCUAAAGAUUCAUCGCUGAUAGAUAGGCAUGCGUUCCAUUAGGCAGUUGGCGGGGUAACGGCCCACCAAACCGACGAUGGAUAGGGGUUCUGAGAGGAAGGUCCCCCACAUUGGUACUGAGACACGGACCAA
rnacentral:rRNA from 1 species